rnacentral:rRNA from 1 species
UGAGGAAUAUUGGUCAAUGGACGCAAGUCUGAACCAGCCAAGUAGCGUGCAGGAUGACGGCCCUAUGGGUUGUAAACUGCUUUUAUAUGGGGAUAAAGUGGGGAACGUGUUCCCUUUUGCAGGUACCAUAUGAAUAAGGACCGGCUACUUCCGUGCCAGCAGCCGCGGUAAUACGGAAGGUUCGGGCGUUAUCCGGAUUUAUUGGGUUUAAAGGGAGCGUAGGCCGUUUGGUAAGCGUGUUGUGAAAUGUAGGAGCUCAACUUCUAGAUUGCAGCGCGAACUGUCAGACGUGAGUGCGCACAACGUAGGCGGAAUUCAUGGUGUAGCGGUGAAAUGCUUAGAUAUCAUGAAGAACUCCGAUUGCGAAGGCAGCUUACGGGAGCGCAACUGACGCUGAAGCUCGAAGGUGCGGGUAUCGAACAGG